UCAUACUCCAGAGACCAUGGUGACACAGA
rnacentral:piRNA from 1 species